AUUGAACGCUGGCGGCAUGCCUAACACAUGCAAGUCGAACGAGUGGCGGACGGGUGAGCAAUGUCUGGGAAACUGCCUGAUGGAGGGGGAUAACUACCGGAAACGGUAGCUAAUACCGCAUACCAUCAGAUGUGCCCAGAUGGGUUUAGCUUGUUGGUGGGGUAACGGCUCACCAAGGUGACGAUCCCUAGCUGGUCUGAGAGGGUGACCAGCCACGCUGGGACUGAGACACGGUCCAGACUCCUACGGGAGGCAGCAGUGGGGAAUAUUGCGCAAUGGGCGCAAGCCUGAUGCGGCAAUGCCGCGUGUGUGAAGAAGGCCUUCGGGUUGUAAAGUGCUUUCAGCGGGGAGGCGUUACCCGCAGAAGAAGCACCGGCUAACUCCGUGCCAGCAGCCGCGGUAAUAC
rnacentral:rRNA from 1 species